rnacentral:tRNA from 1 species
UGGGGUGUCGCCAAGCGGUAAGGCAGUGGUUUUUGGUACCACCAUGCGGAGGUUCGAAUCCUUCCACCCCAA